AUGCUGAGAGGGAGUAGAGUGAGUGAAGGCCCAGAGGUUGUUCAGAUGGACACAUUGGAGUCAGACUCCAUGGUGCAGCAGGAGCAAUCACAGGCCAGUCACAGCCCUGCAUUGGAUAACAUUGCUGUCAGUCCAAUGGAGAGCCAAUCAGAGGAAAGGAUUACACCUCAGCAGUUAACAGAGGAAAUUACAUUAGUAAAAAACACAGAUACAGUGUUACCGGGAAAACGGUGCAAGUUUAGUGACUCACGCAGCAAAUCAGUAUAUGCCAAUCUUGGACAGCCAGUGAGAAAGGGACAAAGUAAUCCAAGGGCAGGGAUGCUGACACAUCCAGGCUCACGGAAGAACAGCGAGGGCCAGCUGGCGGGCUUGACUGAGAUUUUCGUGCCUGGCAUUCAGGAGAGGAGGGUCACCUGGAGUCAGUCACGUCAAACAGCGUCGAACACCCCUCAUACUUUGCUGUUGAGUGGAUACGCUGAAGAGGCGAUCAUACCCAGUGAAUCAGCACCCAGCACUUUCUCAGUGAUCACUGAAUACGUCAGUGUUGAGCCUGACCUCAGCCAGUCAGACAACCUCUGGGUAAAGUCAACUCAGAGAUCAGUCAGAUCCGACCAAUCAGACCAGUCGGAGGAAAAACAAUCAAGACGCGACUCAUGGUACAGCCAAUCAGGUGAGGAUGAGUCUUUGAUUGAGUUGCGGAGGUUUUCGCGUAAACUGAAGUCUCCACGGCUACCAAGGAGGCGACCAAUAAGCAUCGAGCCGAACGUCCCACAUCAGACAUCACGCCGUGCAUCGGAGGAUUCUGGUCGUGCUCCAAGACACAAGAACACAAACUCCUCAUCGAACUCGGACUCGGACAGCAGCAACCGUCGGCCUGGAAAACCCUCCCACCGCGUGCUCAAGCUGAGCUCCCUCAAUAAGAACCGAGGCGUGUUCUGGAACGUGGAGGAACAGCCCAGGCUGUCCCCUGAACUGCACACGUUCUCAGACCCAGAACUGCCCAAGAGAGUGCCUAAUCAAAAACCUCAUAAACCUCCAAUGAAGACCCAGAGGAGCUUGUCCACCCCAGAUAUGAUGUACCAGGGACCUCCACACCAGUAUCCACCUCAAAAGCACCCUAGGCCACCGCCCGUGCCCUCCCCGCCACCACGCGACUUCCAGCUCAAGGACUCUCCUCUGCAGAGCCUCCUGGAGCGUGCAAAAGAGCGAGGGAAGGAGCGAGAGGGUGUGAAAAAAGGUGACAGGAGGAAAGAAAAGCCCACUGCAACUUCCACCCCCUCUCCGUUGCCCAGCGAUUGGGACCGAGAGACAGAGGGGGAGGAGGUGGACUUCACCAGGCUUCAGGUGACCAGGCUCUCCCACGGGUGGCGGGAGGGAAAUGUGGACGGAAGCGAUGACGAGAGGAAGAGCAGGUGA
rnacentral:lncRNA from 1 species